UUAUUUUGGCAGAGUUCAUACGAGUUUUCAUAUGAUUUCCGGAACCGGUUUUGAGGGGAGCCCCGCCCCCGGGGGUUCCAAGACGAUCAACUAUAGAACCACUGCACUGUGUCAGACAGAAAGAAAGAGGAAAAUAGUAAGGAGGAUUUUGUACUCACCUGGGUCUCGGCUGAUCUGGUCAAGCCUUGUACUAUCUCUUGGCCCGGAUGGAUUAUAGCCAGGUCUGUCCUGAAAUUUACGAACCAAUUCAUGCAUCACUGUUGCCUUACCGGGGUGGACUCGAAGACGCAUGGGAUUGUCAUCAUAAGCGAAUAGUUCCCAGUUCUCCUUAAACUUAUUGUGAUUGUUAGAAUCGUCGCUCUGAUAGCUCUAUCCAGAGAAAGGAAGGAAAGAGAUAGAGGUUACUAGUAUGAUACAGACAGACGUGACAUAAAGGAUAGAAAGAAUGUUGAAAGUAAUGUAAAUGAGGAAAAGACGAAUGGAGGAAACUAUAUUGAAAGCAAGACAUAAGAGUUAGUUUACAAAUGGCGCAAAAGUAGCCAAGAAAGGGUGGACAGCUGUGAAACAAAGAGAAAUCCGUGCUAUACAUUAUGAUGACAGUAAGUCCAGUAAACGUCCCGUAAAUGGACUCAAAAAAGACAGGAUAGACCACACAGAAUCAGGAAACAGAGGGAAUCAGAGCGAACUCCAUUCGCUGAUGACAGCAUGACCACAAUAAUGAAAGAAGCAUACAAAAUCGAUAUUCAUUUCCUUCAUGUUUUAUUUAUGAUACAUGUAGAUAUUCUACUGUAAUAAAUUAUAUGAUUAAUCUUA